GACGAACGCUGGCGGCGUGCCUAACACAUGCAAGUCGAGCGAGAAGCUUUUGAACGAUCCUUCGGGUGAGUGAUAAAGUGGAAAGCGGCGGACGGGUGAGUAACGCGUGAGUAAUCUGCCUUAAGGAGGGGGAUAACACAGAGAAAUCUGUGCUAAUACCGCAUAAUAUGUAUCUUUCGCAUGUUAGAUACAUCAAAACUCCGGUGCCUUAAGAUGAGCUCGCGUCCGAUUAACUAGUUGGUGAGGUAAUGGCUCACCAAGGUUACGAUCGGUAGCCGGACUGAGAGGUUGAACGGCCACAUUGGAACUGAGACACGGUCCAGACUCCUACGGGAGGCAGCAGUGGGGAAUAUUGGGCAAUGGGCGCAAGCCUGACCCAGCAACGCCGCGUGAAGGAAGAAGGCUUUCGGGUUGUAAACGUUCUUUUGUCAGGGACGAAGCAAUGACGGUACCUGACGAAUAAGCCACGGCUAACUACGUG
rnacentral:rRNA from 1 species